CAAACCCAGGAGAAAAGUUACCCAGGGCUUGCUCUGAAACUCACCGUUAGAGGCUCAGGUUCCAGGGGCAACCUGCACCCACAUGGAAGCUAUUUGACUUCGUGACUGGGCCAUGUGAAUAUCCUUUUGUGAAAGAAAUAAAGCAUGGAGAACCCAGAGCCAUCUAUGUACUAACAGGCUUCUCUCCACUGGGUUUCCUGCACGUCUAUCCACACAGUGUAAUUUAUCUUCCUUGGAAAGAGAAAAUAGCAAGAGAAACAUAAGCGUCAGAAGAACACGUCGGCCCUGGAACCUUCCAGUAUGAUGCUCCUUAUAUCCCAUUUCCUUUUGGAUGCUCCUCCAUAUCAAGCCAGGAACCUGAAGAAAGAAUACAAAUCACAUUGCUAUUUUGAGAUGAAAAUAUUGCCUCAGUAACUGCAGCACUCUCCAGGAUGCACGCAGCAGCGGCACGCAGGCCCAGCACGCACUCCCCGUAGUAAAUCUGGAGGAUUUUUGCUCACACGAGUGUACUUUAGACAGCAUGACGGAAGUACACUGCCACUGCACUUAAUGGAUUUAUCAAAUACCUUAUUUCAUGCUUUCUGCUUUUGAUUUAUGAAUUUUGAUCCUGGAGACAAGGGCCCUGUGAGUAUUGAUUGUGGAAAAUGUCAGACUAACAGAAGUUAAUUUCACUCGUACAUGUGGAAGUCUCCGAUUCUCUGACAGCGCUGUCUACCAGGGAUCAGCUGCCGAGCUUGAGUGACAUGGUGCUGUCACCACGGCAGCCAUCCCACCGGCAGGCGCCAGCCUUACCGUACCGUGUAUUGAAGUGACACACAAAUAUGUAUCUGGACGUGGGUAUGUGGUGAGGCCGCAGUUGUGGGAAAGGUGGAGAAGUCCGAUGAGCUGGAGGAUCUGGCAGGGGAGGGAUGUACGAGCUAGCCAGGCAGGUAGGGUGCCAUGCCCCCGGGGCUUCACGCUUUUCAUUGCAAUAUGCCUGACAGGAUAAUGGAAUGUCAUUCUGCCAGCUCUUGAGCUGGUUAGGGACAGUUUAUUUAUUGAUUGACUUUCUUUGUAAAUUAUCAAUCUUUUUUAUACUCCAGUCAAUGAGUCAUUACUUAUGCAAUAAUAUACUAAUGUGGUGUCAUGCAGCAGACACAUCUUUAAUCUAGUCUCGUGUCUAGGAGGUUGCAUAUCAAGGAACGAAAUGGUUUUCUGAGCUGUAGUCUUAAGACUGUUCGCACAGGCUGAGCUACAAGACGGUGGUGUCUCGGCAACAUUUCACAGUGCAUCACACUGUUCUAUUGAUGCGUAGACGUUGGUGCAAAUGACUAUGUUUUAAUAUAAUAAGCAUAGACACAUUAAAUUAAAAAACAAAAAAAGCAAAGUAGAAAUAUGCAUAACAAACAGAUUUUUCUAUUGCAAAGAUGGUGAAGCUAAUGAAAUCUCAGUUGCACUGUAACCUUUUAGUCAAUAGCUUUUUAUUCUUGGCCAAAAGUGUCUACAUCCAAAGGUUGAAUAUUAAAAACCUUCCUUAAAGCCCUCAAUAGCACCAGCCCCCUGUAUCAUAUAUCCCUUGAAGCUGAGAACAUUGACUUUUAAUGAAUAUGUAGCUCCUUUUAAGACUCGGUUUUCAUUCUGAACACAGAAAAUAAUUGUCUUUUAUUUUGUUUUUAACUGACACAUGAUGUUGUACCUAUCUGUGGUUCAGUUUCAAUAUAUGAAUACAUUCUGUAAUAAUUGAAUCAGGGUACUUAGAAUAUCCACCUUCUCAUGCAUUUAUCAUAUGUGGUGAUAACACUGAAAAUCCUCUCUUCUGACUACUUGGCAACAUACAAUAUAAUAUUGCCAAGCAUAGUCACCUUCCUAUUCUGGAAUAUCGGAACUUCUUCCUCCUAUCCAACUGUGACUUUGUACCCGUUGGGCAGUCUCUAGACAGUAGCCCCUCUCCAGCCCCGGUAAUCAAUAUUCUACUUUCUACGUCUAGGAGAUCACCUUCUUUAGCUUCCACAUAUGAGUGAGAAAAUGUGGUAUUUGUCUUUCUGUGCUUGUUUUUUUUCACUUAGCAUAAUGUCUUCCAGAUUCAUCCACGUUGCUGCAAAUGACAGGAUGUCAUUCUUUUAUGACUGAAUAGUAUUCCAUGGAGUAUAUAUAUCAUAGUUUCUUUAUCCACUUAUCCAUUGAUGGACACUUAGCUUGAUUUCGUAUCUUAGCUAUUGUGAAUUGUGCUGCCAUAAACAUGGCAGUGCAGCUAUCUCUUCAACGUAUCAAUUUCAUUUCCUUUGGAGGUAUACCCAGUAGUGGAAUUGCUGGGUCGUAUGGUACGUUCUAUUUUUAAUUUUUUAAAGAACUUCCAUACUGAGUUCCAUAAUGGUUGUACAAUUUACAUUCCCACCAACAGCGUAUAAGAUUUCUCCACAUCUAUGCCAGUAUUUAUUAUUUCUUGUCUUUUUGAUAAUAGCUAUUCUAGUUGAAAUGAGGUGAUAUCUCAUUGUGGUUUUGAUUUGCAUUUCCCUGAUGAUUAGUAAUGUUGAACAUUUUUUUCAUACAUUUGUUGGCCCUUUGUAUGUCUUCCUUUGAGAAUGUCUAUUCAGGUUUUUUCCUCAUUUUUACAUUAAAUUAUUAUUGUUAUUUGCUAUUGAGUUGUUUGAGUUUCCUAUGUAUUUUUAGUAUUAACGUCUUGUCAGAUGCAUAGUUUGCAAAUAUUUUCUCCUAUUCUGUAGGUUACCUUUCACUCCUGAUUGUUUUCUUUUCUGUGUAGAAGCUUUUUAGUUUCACGUUAUUCUAUUUGUCUUUUUUUGCUUUUAUUGCCUGUGAUUUUGAGGUCUUAUCCUUGAAAAAUAUUUGCUUAGACCAAUGUUAUAAAGCGUUUUCUCUAAGUUUUCUUCUAGUACUUUUAUAUUUCAAGCUUUUACAUUUAAGUUUUUGUUCUACUUUGAAUUGAUUUUUGUAUAUGAUGAGAUAAAGGAAUCUAGUAUCAUUAUUCUGCAUGUGGAUAUCCAGUUUUCCCAGCACUAUUUAUUGAAGGGACUGUCCUUUCCCUAAUAUAUGUAUGUUUGGUGCCUUUGUCAAAAAUCAGUUUGAUUUAUGUGUCUACUUUUAUGCCACUACCAUGAUGUUUUCUGAACCCAGAAGAUAUUAAAACUAUUUAACAAUGAAAUUUAAAAUUUAUUCAAUGCUGUGAUGAAAUAAUAAGCCAAUGUGUUUAUUUUUGUUUGGCAAUGCAAGGUUAAGCAACUUGAGAACUGAAGAGGUAAACAUAGUUGACAUUUAAUGAAUAUACUUCAUAAGUCAGAUGUUCUCUGAAAGUUCUGAAAUUCUGAGGCUGUUUGUUCUUCUAAAUACUUUUCUUGACUGUUUUCAUACAUCUGAAAAUGAGGAAAAUAAUAAAUUAAUGUCUUCUUGUUUUAUGGCGCUAUUUCACAUUAUCACACUGUGGUGUGGUUUUCUCAAGAGAGAAAGUAUUUUCAGGUGAAGCUAAAAAUUAACCAAAAGGGCUGUGACAUGCAGCUCCCAGUAAGUGGACUCACCUCCCCCACAGUGCACUGACAAAUGUAUGCAAUGUCCUGCCAGUGGUCUUUCAGCUCUCCAGCAACCCUGGUUGAUGUUAGAGCACUUCUUGGGUGACAGGUGGUAUUUGUUUGGAUUUUAACAUGAAUAUUAUUUGAUGUAGACCUAAAAAUUAAUAACAGCCUAACCAUUGCUUGUAAUUUCAGUUGCUGUGUUUAUGUAAAGUAAUUUUAUUGAGGUGCUCAAUGUUUAGGAUUUAGUCUAUAUUGAGUUUGGGAUUCUUCUUGGGGCCUAUCCUGUACUGUUGACAUGAAUGUAAAUUGUUCUAGGGAAGGGCCAAAAUAGUGCAGAUGUAAUAAACAGUUAUCUCGCUAUUUAUAAAAAUGACACAGACCAGUGUAAGAGCCAUUUAUAAAAAUGUAAACACAUUUUUCGGUCUUGUUUGUUAAUAAAUCUUUAUUGACAUACAAUAAACUGUGCAUAUUUGAAGUGUACAAUGUGGUAAAUGUGAAUCUUGUUAUACACCUAUGAAACAAUUACUGCACUCAUGACAAUAAACAUCAUCUCCCAGGGUUGGAUUAUGCAUCUUCACAAAUGUUCCCUGUCACACCCGCUGCUCUCACUCCCCGCUCCCAGAUAAUCACCAAUCUCCUCCUAUCAUUCUAGAUUGGUUUGCAUUUUUCUGGACUUAAAUCAAGGGAAUCAUUCCCACAGCAUAUAUAUAUAUAUACACAC
rnacentral:lncRNA from 1 species